rnacentral:lncRNA from 1 species
GGGCCUUGCACCGGGGCCUUGCACGUGUCGCACGAGCAGGGUUUGCGCCGGGGCUUUGCACGAGCAGAUUGUGCUUGCGCGUGUUGCACGAGCAGGGUUUGCACCAGGGCUUUGCACGAGCAGCUUGCACUGUGUGUGUUGCACAAGUGUGGCUUGCACCAGGGCCUUGCACCAGGGCCUUGCAUGAGCAGCUUGUGCUUGCACGUGUUGCACAAGCACAGUUUGCACCAGGGCUUUGCACAAGCACCAUCUGCUUGAGUUGACCGUGUGUUGCACAAGUGUGGCUUGCACCAGGGCCUUGUACCAGGGCCUUGCACGUGUCGCACGAGCAGGGUUUGCGCCAGAGCUUUGCACAAGCAGUUUGUGCUUGCAUGUGUUGAACGAGCAGGGUUUGCGCCAGGGCUUUGCACAAGCAGCUUGCACUGUGUGUGUUGCACAAGUGUGGCUUGCGCCAAGGCCUUGCACCAGGGCCUUGCACGUGUCACAUGUGCAAGGUUUGUGCCGGGGCUUUGCACGAGCAGUUUGUGCCUGCGCGUGUUGCACGAACAGGGUUUGCACCAGGGCCUUGCACCGGGGCCUUGCACGUGUCACAUGAGCAAGGUUUGCACUGGGGGGGGCUUUGCACGAGCAGCUUGUGCUUGUGUGUGUUGCAUGAGAAGGGUUUGCACCAGGGCCUUGCACCAGGGCCUUGCACUGGGGCCUUGCACGUGUCGCAUGAGCAAGGUUUGCACCAGGGCCUUGCAUGAGCAGAUUGUGCUUGCACUUGUUGCACAAGCAGGGCCUUGCGCCAGGGCCUUGCACCAGGGCCUUGCACCAGGGCCUUGCAUGUCUCACACGAGCAAGGUGUGCACCAGGGCUUUGCACGAGCAGUUUGUGCUUGCACGUGUUGCACGAGCAAGGUGUGCACCAGGGCCUUGCACGAGCAGCUUGUCCCUGUGCUGUCCACGUGUCGCACGAGUGCGUCUCGCACCGGGGCCUUGCACGAGCACCCCGCUCUGCGCCACGUGAGCGUGCGCAGCCCCCUGCUCUUGCACGAGCACCGUGCCCGCCCGUGCGAGACACACCUUGCACGCCCGGGGGGGGCUUUGCACAUUGAGCCCCCCCCCCCUUUUUGUGUGUCCCCCCCCC